AGGCUCAACCUCGGAAAGGGGAGCAAAACUGCUUGAAUUGGAAGGUUUCGGGGCUACUGAACUUAUCGUGUAGGAGUGAAAUCCGUUGAUAUGAUAAGGAACACCGAGGGCGAAGGCAAGUAGCUAGGAACACUUCGACGCUGAGGGACGAAAGCCAGGGUAGCGAAAGGGAUUAGAGACCCCUGUAGUCCUGGCCGUAAACGAUGCUCGCUAGGGAUGGGAGCCUUUAAUGGUUUCCGUCUCGUUAGCUAACGCGUUAAGCGAGCCGCCUGGGGAGUACGAGCGCAAGCUUAAAACUCAAAGGAAUUGACGGGGACCCGCACAACCAGUGGAUUAUGUGGUUUAAUUCGAGACGAACCGAAGAACCUUUCCUGGGCUUGACAUGUUAGCUGCACGUCGACAGAGAUGUCGAUUUCUUCGAGAGUGCUAACACAGGUGUUGCAUGGCUGUCGUCAGCUCGUGCCGUGGGGUGUUCCCUUCAGUGGGGUAACGAGCGCAACCCCUGCCGUAUGUUAAAUUGUUCAUACGGGACUACUCGCUUUGCAGGGAGGAAGUGGGGACGACGUCAAGUCAGCAUGGCCCUUAUGUCCAGGGCGACACACAUAAUACAAUGGAGCCGACAGAGGGUUGCCAAGCGGUAACGUGGAGCUAAUCCCAAAAACGGCUUCUCAGUGGGGAUUGAGGGCUGCAAUUCGCCCUCAUGAACGCGGAAUUGGUAGUAAUCGCAAAUCAGCCAAGUUGCGGUGAA
rnacentral:rRNA from 1 species